AUGAAGCUCCUGGCUUCGGCCUGGCCCAGCCCUGGCCAUUGCUGUCACCUGGGGCAUGAACCAGCAGAGGGAAAAUGGAUCAAUCUCUCUCUUCUCCCCCUCCUUCUAUCUCUGCCUUUAAAAAAAAAAUGGCUGUGCCCUGGACAGAGCCAGGAGCAGGGGCCGUCUUCCUCAACCCAUGGAGGCCGGAGAUGCGAGAGCGAGUGCGCCCCAACAGGACUCAGUGCAUUCGGUUCACAGUGGACCGCAACGCCCACCGAGCCAGCCAGCCCAGGUCUGCAAAAACUGCACAACCGGGUUUUCGCUGGCGGUGACCUGGAGCCCUCCCCCGCUUCCAGGCCCGGUGUGGGCAGCCCCAGGGCACAAAGGGGGUCACUCAGGCCCCGGGACUGGCCCGCAGCGGCUCUGGCUUCGGGGACGCUCCAGGCCUCCCCGGGGGCGGCGAGCCGGGUUCGAGCCCGGCCUGCGGGGCGGCGGGGGCGCGGCGCGGGCCGGGAGCCGAGGAGGGGUCAGGGGAGCGCUGCGUUCUCCUUUUAUGUCCGCGCGGGGCCGGGAACUCCCUGCCCGGCCGCGGCUCAAGAACAAUGCGCCGCUUCCUGCCGCCCGCCCCGGCCGCGGCCCCCUCGCUCCCCGCCCUGCGGCCGCCGGGAAAUGGGCCGAGCCCGGGGCCGCCGCCGCGGGUACACGGGGUCGCGCCCCGGGCCGCGGCCGGGGUCGGAGGGAAGGCCAGCGGGUGAGGGUACGGGCUGGCGCGGCAAUGACCGGGCGGGAGCUGGGACGCGCGGGGCGCUGGACUCCGCACGCAGCCCGGGGGCAGGCUUUGCACCUGAGCCUGGAGCCUCAUCUGCACACCACCCUGGAUGGUUCAAUCGUCCCAGCCCCUGUGCUAAGCCCGGGGAAGUGGGGGGGGGGGGAGUCGAGGAACCUGCUGGAAGUUUCUGGGCUGGCCAGGGAGGAAGCGCCCAUCCUAAAAGCCCUGAAUUGGGGGUCCGUCUGAAGGCGAUGCGACUUUGGAGAAAAACAGACUGGCGUGGGGAAUUGGGGUUAUUCUCAGAGGGUAGUUGCUGUUACAAAGACACAGAACGAUAA
rnacentral:lncRNA from 1 species